rnacentral:rRNA from 1 species
CCUACGGGAGGCAGCAGUGAGGAAUAUUGGACAAUGGGCGCAAGCCUGAUCCAGCCAUGCCGCGUGCAGGAAGACGCAUCUAUGGUGUGUAAACUGCUUUUGUACGGGAAGAAACACUCCCUCGUGAGGGAGCUUGACGGUACCGUAAGAAUAAGGAUCGGCUAACUCCGUGCCAGCAGCCGCGGUAAUACGGAGGAUCCAAGCGUUAUCCGGAAUCAUUGGGUUUAAAGGGUCCGUAGGCGGUUUAAUAAGUCAGUGGUGAAAGCCCAUCGCUCAACGAUGGAACGGCCAUUGAUACUGUUAGACUUGAAUUACUAGGAAGUAACUAGAAUAUGUAGUGUAGCGGUGAAAUGCUUAGAUAUUACAUGGAAUACCAAUUGCGAAGGCAGGUUACUACUAGUGGAUUGACGCUGAUGGACGAAAGCGUGGGGAGCGAACAGGAUUAGAUACCCUGGUAGUCCACGCCGUAAACGAUGGAUACUAGCUGUUGGGCGCAAGUUCAGUGGCUAAGCGAAAGUGAUAAGUAUCCCACCUGGGGAGUACGUUCGCAAGAAGAGAAGUAAAGUAAAGUUAGUAGACGUGAGAGUAGACGACGGACGACGACGAGGGAGGAGG